GACGAACGCUGGCGGCGUGCUUAACACAUGCAAGUCGAACGGAAAGGCCUGCUUUCCCUUGUGGAUUGCGGGUACUCGAGUGGCGAACGGGUGAGUAACACGUGAGUGAUCUGCCCCCAACUUGGGUAUAAGCCUGGGAAACUGGGUCUAAUUCCCGAUAGGACUGCAGGGUGGUGCCUGUGGUGGAGAACGAUUUUCUAGUGGUUGGGGAUGAGCUCGCGGCCUAUCAGCUUGUUGGUGGGGUAAUGGCCUACCAAGGCGGCGACGGGUAGCCGGCCUGAGAGGGUGGACGGCCACAUUGGGACUGAGAUACGGCCCAGACUCCUACGGGAGGCAGCAGUGGGGAAUAUUGCACAAUGGGCGGAAGCCUGAUGCAGCGACGCUGCGUGGGGGAUGACGGCCUUCGGGUUGUAAACUCCUUUCGACCGCGAGGAAGCCACCUGGUUGGAAGGGUGGUGACGGUAGUGGUAGAAGAAGCACCGGCUAACUACGUG
rnacentral:rRNA from 1 species